rnacentral:rRNA from 1 species
UACAGAGGUCCCAAGCGUUGUUCGGAUUCACUGGGCGUAAAGGGUGCGUAGGUGGUGGGGUAAGUCUGAUGUGAAAUCUUCGAGCUUAACUCGGAAAUGGCAUUGGAUACUACUCUGCUAGAGGUUUGGAGGGGGGACUGGAAUUCUCGGUGUAGCAGUGAAAUGCGUAGAUAUCGAGAGGAACACCAGUGGCGAAGGCGAGUCCCUGGACAACACUUGACACUGAGGCACGAAAGCGAGGGGAGCAAACAGG